GUGGUCCUGGCUACUCAACUGGUGGAGCAUGGCAUUAAUGUAGCCAGCGUUAGGGGUUCGAUUCCCACUGGGACCACC